GGGGGGAAAACCUCUUUAUCCCCCAAAAUCCGGGAGUGAGGUGAAAGAAGCCCUGUAGGGUUAAAAAUCUUUUUUUCAGCAAAGAAAGAAAACGACUUUAUCUGACAGAAAAAACCCCCCGGUUUAUCUUCCGUCCCCAACCACCCGCUGUUAAGAGGGGAGGGGUCUAGCUUUUGUUGAGAAUUUUGGGGGGCGUAAAAGAGGUGUGUAGGGCGGUUUUAGUAAGUUGGGAAGUGAAACCCCGGGGUCUUAUCCUUGGGAAUCUCUUUGAAAACGUAUUUAUUUUAGAGCGUAGUAGGGGAUGAGGGAAUUUCCUUAGUAUAGAGGUGAAAUUGUUUAUAUAUUAGGAGGCACCCCGGGUGGAGAAGGCGAUCAUGUGGGCUACAUCUGACUGUGAUGCGAGAGAGCGUGGAGAGCACACAGGUUUAGAUCCCGUGAUAGUCCACGCUGUAAGCGAUGAGUGAUAUAUAUGGGAAGAUUUUCUUUGGGUGGCGCAGCUAACGCAUUAAGCUCUCCGCCUGGGGAGUACGGUCGCAAGAUUAAAACUCAAAGGAAUUGACGGGGGCUCGCACAAGCGGUGGAGCAUGCGGUUUAAUUCGAUGUUACGCGAAAAACCUUACCAGCCUUUGACAUGGUGGUCGCGGAUCGCGAAGAUGCUUUUUUUCAGUUGGGGUGGAUCACACACAGGUGUUGCGCGUCUGUCGUCAGCUUGUGUCGAGAGAUGUUGGGUUAAGUCCCGCAGCGAGCGCACCCCUCAUUUUUAUUCGCCAGCGGGUAAUGGCGGGAAUAUAAGAAACCUGCCGGUGAUAAGCCGGAGGAAGGUGGGGCCUCAUGUCUCAGAAUGAUCAUCCUGGCUCAGAACGAACCACGUUGCCGGUGAAGCAACAGUGCGCAUAGCGAACACUGGUUGUGCGAGACGCGGCUUUACAGUUGCUUUGGCAGCAUGUGCGAAUGGAGACAAGCUACCAGCGUUUGUGAUUUUAAAGGAACCGAGCGGCAAGAUACCAGCGAAGGCAUUCAUGAAACUUCGCAUUCCAGGUAAGUGUCAAACAAAUUACUCCUGGCUCAGAUCGAACGCAUGAGCACAUGCAGAGAACUCCAGGACGACAUCGCAUCGAUACACGUCCGGCUGAUCAAGUUCAGCUCCCCCC
rnacentral:rRNA from 1 species